GCGUAGUGCGUGCCAGGUGGCCGGGUAGUAGCUGGGAGUGAAGCUUUGUCCUGAUUUAGUGGUCUUAAAGAGCGGGGAGGCGGCUGUGCAAGUCCGUUGUGAAAACUCGAGGCGCAACCUCGAGACGCCGGUGGAAACUGCAAAGCUAGAGGACGGAAGAGGAGAGUGGAAUUCCUUGUGUAGCGGUGAAAUGCGCAGAUAUCAGGAAGAACACCCGUGGCGAAGGCGGCUCUCUGGGACGGUACUGACGCUGAGACGCGAAAGCGUGGGGAGCGAACAGGAUUAGAUACCCUUGUAGUC
rnacentral:rRNA from 1 species